rnacentral:tRNA from 1 species
GGGCGCAUAGCUCAGUGGUAGAGCAUCUGCCUUUUAAGCAGAGGGUCGGUGGUUCGAAACCACCUGCGCUCA